AGUGAACGCUGGCGGUAGGCCUAACACAUGCAAGUCGAACGGCAGCACAGUAAGAGCUUGCUCUUACGGGUGGCGAGUGGCGGACGGGUGAGGAAUACAUCGGAAUCUACUUUUUCGUGGGGGAUAACGUAGGGAAGCUUACGCUAAUACCGCAUACGACCUACGGGUGAAAGCAGGGGAUCUUCGGACCUUGCGCGAUUGAAUGAGCCGAUGUCGGAUUAGCUAGUUGGCGGGGUAAAGGCCCACCAAGGCGACGAUCCGUAGCUGGUCUGAGAGGAUGAUCAGCCACACUGGAACUGAGACACGGUCCAGACUCCUACGGGAGGCAGCAGUGGGGAAUAUUGGACAAUGGGCGCAAGCCUGAUCCAGCCAUACCGCGUGGGUGAAGAAGGCCUUCGGGUUGUAAAGCCCUUUUGUUGGGAAAGAAAAGCAGCAGGUUAAUACCCCGCUGUUCUGACGGUACCCAAAGAUUAAGCACCGGCUAACUUCGUG
rnacentral:rRNA from 1 species